UACUAUAUGAUGCCAUGUGGAGGAAAAAGCCCGUUAUCUCAGGAAAGACUUCAUCAGAGGUUGUAGGGAACAAGGAGGUCUAGAGGUUCUGGACUUUAACUCCCUAAACAACACAUUUAAAAUGAAACGGAUUCUGGAAUUUCUGAAGAUCCCGACAGCAUCUGGAACGCUUUUCCAGCUUCUCUGUUUAAUCAUCCUGGUGGCUUUAAUUUUCUGUUGAAAGCUCAUUUUUCUGUUGGUAAAAUUCCUUUAAAUCCGGCUGACUUCCACAAACAAGCUCUUUUAUCUGGUUAUUGGUUUAUAAACAUAACUUCAGCCCCGUAGAUGUUAUAUCUGGAACAACAAGGACUUCUUUAUCAGAAUAAAUCUGUUUUAUCCGACAUGGUGUGGAAAAGGAAUUCUGUUUGUAGCUCAGUUGUUGGAUAAAAACGGGACUUCUGACAUUCAGAAUUCCUUAAAAAAGUCAUUUACCUGGAACAGCUGAAGAGUUGGCUGUUGUCUUAAAUGCAGCUCCUGCAGGCUCGUCACAUGUUGAAGAACACGUCAUUCCCAGAGAUUAACACGGAAUUUAACAACGUUUUCAUGGCUGAUGUUGAUCUCACAGACAAACGUUGGAGCAACAAAUAAAUCAGGAAUGAAGCGUCCGGUUCACUUCCAGCUGCUGCAGAGUUCUUCUGGGACUCUACCAUGGCUGCUUUACAGGGAAAAAGCUGCUAAACUUCUUCAUAAUUACUGGAUUAACAACAAGCUGGAAGAAGUUUCUUUUAAGGUUUAACUUCAGAUUUUUCCUGUUCAGGAAACACUUCAAAGAUUCCAGAUAAAUAUUGAUGAUGCCUGUGUGUUCUGCAAAGCUAACAAAGAGACAAUUUUCCAGAUAUUUUCCAACGUGUUCCCACCAAACAGUUCUGGUCCGACAUGGAAAGCUUCGUCUGGGCUCAGUUAAACAUCAACAUCCACAUUAAUGUUUUCAUCUUAUAUUUUAUAUUGAAAGGAUUGUCAGUGAUGUAAACUCUGUUAUUCAGCUAUUAAUCAUUCUUGGCAGGUUUCAUGUCCACAAGUGUAAAUGUUCUGGAUCUAAACCUUUUUAAUCUUUUUAUUGUGGAUCUGAAAUCUUAAACCAGCUCAGCUGAAAAUGUGAAGAACCAGAAAGCAACAAGAACUCUUGAUAUUUUGAAGAAACUGCACAUUAUUUCAUUUUUCUAUGUAAAAUAAAAUAAAUAAAAACUCCACGUUUGUAUCUGUUGUCUUCGGCCUUGUUCAGUUGAAGCUGUUUAAGUUGCAUCUUAUAUGUAAAAUGUUUUCUGUUAUAAAAUCUAAAACGUGUUCAGAGCCUGAAUUGGGACGCAGGUCUAUACUGUUCCUUGUGGUUCCAGGUGAGAUCCGUACUCGGACGUCUACAUAUGUUUAUGUUCCAGUUAAUCUGUAGCUGGUUUAGAGAGGAUAGCUGCGCUGCUUUCCACCAGUAGGUGGCAGUAGCGCUCUACUAAUGGGGGCGACCGGUCCGGAGCUGGAAUUUCUUAGAGGAAGUAGCCGGUCAGGCAGAACAGCUGACAGCAUCCACCGCUGAUCUAUACUGUUCCUCGUCCUUCCAGGGAUCAGCAUGAAUAAAGCCUUUCAUGAAGCGGAGCAUGGCUGAAUUUCUCCCGUGUGUAACACAUGGAGUUCGAAGCUUCACACACCUGGAAACAGCAGCAGGGUUAUGUCACUGCUGCAGGUUUGUGAUGAAGUGGAGCGAAAACAUCCAGCUUUGGGAAAGAAGUGACAAAGAUUUGACUGCGUCUGCAAAAAGUGCUUCACCUGCCUCCAGAGAAAUCUCUGCCAUACCAGCUGUACCUGGAGGCCAGAGAGGAGGCUCUCGUUGAAGAGUUACCAGGAGUUAACAGGUAUUGACUCUUUAUAUUUCUCCCAUACGUCUAUAAGGAGAACAUGAACCUUUUUAUCCCUCUUGGAGACUCUGAUGCAGACAUGUGGUGUUUAACUGAACCAAACACACACAACAAACGUGACCUUCCAUCUCCACACACAACUAUUCUCCUGACUGGUCAAGACUGGAAAAUGUCCUUCUUCACCAAACGAGCUCCAAACGUUGUGAAAGCAGACGAUGUUGAGGAAGGGGUCAUCUCUGCCUUCUGCACUGACUUUGUCUUCAAGCUGGCAAACCCGAGACACCUGAAGACACACUGACGUUCCUCCAGAGGUGCAUGGUGGUGACCAA